rnacentral:rRNA from 1 species
UACGGAGGGUGCAAGCGUUAAUCGGAAUUACUGGGCGUAAAGCGCACGCAGGCGGUUUCUUAAGUCAGAUGUGAAAUCCCCGGGCUGAACCUGGGAACGGCAUCUGAUACUGGGAAGCUUGAGUCUCGUAGAGGGGGGUAGAAUUCCAGGUGUAGCGGUGAAAUGCGUAGAGAUCUGGAGGAAUACCGGUGGCGAAGGCGGCCCCCUGGACGAGAACUGACGCUGAGGUGCGAAAGCGUGGGGAGCAAAAAGG